UGCUAACUCUUCUAACAUGAAGAAUUGUCCGAAAUUGGGCUUAGCCAAGGAUCGACCCAUCAGCCCAAUCAUCGAUUUCAGUCUCCCAGUUGUGAACCAUCAUCGUCGAGAGCCACUCCAUCCACCCCCACGCACCACCGCCUUAACUUCGAUCGCACUCGCCACCACCGAAGUCGCUCACAUGUGACCGCCAAGGAACACCGUCCUUUGCACCGUGUCCUCGCACGGUCAAGCCAUAGCCUAUCCUAUUUGACAGGGCCAUCCUCGGCCUGACCCAUGCUGACGCGGCCGUCCCGCACAAUCGUUAAGUUCACUCCAGCUCCUCCGCUCUCCGCGAUGGGGCGGUGAUUGUACAAAGGACUCAAAACUUGCAUAUACAAUGAUCAAAGGGAUUUUUCGGAUGGACUUCAGAUCCAGGGGCUAUCUUAUUAGUUCCUUGCAGGAACAAAAAUCCCCAUCACUAAGAAUGGUUCCUUUGUAGUCAUUGAUGGCAAUCAGUGACCAGCAGUGGAUUAUGUCGUUGUGAACAUGGAUGGUUCAAGGCAUCAUCUACCUCUUACCUCAUUAUGUCACAAACUGCAGCCGAUUAAUGCUUCUCCUCACACAUGCCUUUAGGCACUUAUUGGUCAUGAACACCCCUGUUGGACUGCUCGAUGAGGGAAGAAAAUUCUUUCAUUAGGAAACUGUGUCCAUGCUGUUGACCUUUGCUUUUUCAAAAUGAAUUCCAGAGAUCAGUUUAUGCCAAGAUUUUCCUUAUUUUUUAUGGAAAAUGUGGAGGUAGCACAGACGGGAUGAGCAGCAGCAGCAGAGCCAUGCUGCAGUUUACAAGCCCAACACAAAUGCAAUGGAUGAUUGGGAGAUGUACCAGAUGGACAUUUUCUUGUAAUUUGUCUAAUGAGGAGGGGGAGAUCCACUUUUGUUCCAUGCGGCCAUCUUGUGUGUCAUCAGCGAUGUGCAUUAUCCAUGGAAUGGGAGGUUUCACCAAAAUGCUCUGUUGUAGGCUACCGAUCUCUAAUUCAGUCCGAAUUCUUGAGUAUAAUAGUGGUUUUGUUUCUGUUAGUCCGAGGGUGGAAAGUCGAAAUUGUUAGCUUUUCUUCCUUAAUAUAUCCUCGGAAAAGAGCAUGCCCAUCCUUUAAUGGAGAGUCCACAAUGGACUAGUGAUUAUUUCGUGUCAAUAACGAUGCUUCGUAGGUCUCUCCAACUGUGAAAACUGUGUUGUUUGAUAAAUUGAGCCUUGUUGUUGAGUUUGUCAGCUCGAGCUAGCUUUUAUUUUUGGUAUUA